ACACACAAAAUGACCAAUAGCAAAAAACCGUUAACUGUCUCUUCCUCAGUCCAGAAAAGAAUGGCGCUUUAAAUGAGAUUCAUUUUCAUUAAGCGAAUAUUUUCUUCUCUUUCUCUUUUUUUUAAUUUUAAAGUCUUCAGGGACAUUUCAUUUGCUGUAAGUAAAAAGUGUAUUAAACAUUCGUAUAAUUGGCUGUCCCUGACAUCUUUUUCAACUUUUACUCACCAUCAUCUUCAUCGCCGCAAUCUUUCCUGUCUAUUUCAUCUUUACCUGUGCCUUAGCUGUUGGCUAAAAAUUGUUUUUUUCACCUAAUUUUCCUGGUCAUCAUUGCCACCAUUAUAAU